AGCCCGGAUUAGCUCCAAUUCCAGUGGUCUGCAAGGUGUCCACAAGUCCUCUCAGCCCCGUACGCGUCUUCUUCGCAUCCAGCAUCAUCCUCCCAGCCAUGCACAUCCAUUCCGUGUUCAUCUUCCAUGUCACCUUCUCCCAGAUUCCAUCGACAUCGUCCGCAAUCCUAAUUUCCUCCCAGGCCAAUUCUCAUACGAUUCAUCUCUAUCCCAUGGACAGCUUCCGGAUCAGCUCUCAUCCUCUUCCGGAUAACCUUUUUCUCCCACGAAUCAAUCUUCUUUCGAAUCCCCUAUUUUCCACGUCAUUCCGGAUGAACUCC
rnacentral:lncRNA from 1 species